CGCAGGGGCGCGAGGCCUGGCCCGCCCGCUGCAGAGGGCCUGGCCGGCAGCCCACCGCGGACGCCGGGGGCGGGGGUGAGGAGCUGGGCUCUCUCGCGGUGCCCCGAGUUGGCCGGGGACGAGCAGCUCGUCACGGCGGGCUGAACCAAACGGGACGACGGGCGUGUUGCUUUAGCCUUUUUUCGGUUUUUGGUGGGGUCUUGUGGGUUGAACCCGAGGCCUUCGCGCCGAGCUUCGUCCCCAGGGCUCUUUUAUUUUAACGCAGGGUCUCGCUCAGGUCCCCGGGCGCGGUUUGAGCUUCCGAUCCGCCUGCCUUAGCCUCCCAGGGUGCUGGUGUUGCAGGCGUGUGCCCCCAGGUCGGGUUUAUCCUUUGUUUUUCAAGCGUUCUAACGGUGUGCAAGAAUUCCUCGGACGUCCCGUCACGGCAGAGGCUUUUCUCUCUGUCGUACCUGGCCUGUCAAGGGUUUCGUUGUGUUUGAAAAGUAGCAAGAGUUGAUUUGGAAAAGCUGCAGGGAGCAGCGGCGCGGCUGGUUUCCAUGUGGGCUACAGAGUAACAGCGCAGUGCCGAGGUGUAACCAGGAGCCUCCUAACCUCGCGGUGGGGUUUCGGCUUCCUGUGUCUGGCGGCGGGCAAUCUCGGGCCGCGCCGAGAGUGUGUUCCCGGGAGCCCACGGGGAUACCCGGACCCUCCCUGCACGCUGCUGUGUGUGGCCUCGGAUAAGUAAUCUUCCUGUCCCCACCUUGCCCUGGGUGACGCUGAUGCCGUGCAGAUUUGCAGUCUUCCUGUAACUUAUUAAAGGAUUGCGCCUAAAAUAGAACCGAAGUGAGUAGUUCAGGAGCCAUGGUGUGUGGUUUCUUUCGGUUCAGUAUUUUCAUUGCUUCCUGGAUGAAAAGUAAAACUGUCAGGAUUUGGUUGUCACACUUCGAACGCGGAGUUUGAGCCAACAUUCAGCUGGUGAUUGCUGCGGACGCCUUGCGUGCCCGCUUGAUCUUCCCUGUACGGUGCAAACAGAGGGCAUCGCCAGGAGCGGGAGGAGAGCGAGGAGCUGGGGGCGCUGGAGAGACCAGCAGCUUCAGCCAGGGAGCCGGAGGCCGAGGCCCAGCCCGAGUGACGAGACGCAGGGGGAGCCUGGAGAUGCGCCUUGGGGGCACGUCCUACGCCUGCGACGCCCUGUGCAGACAUUAGCCUCUGGGAGCCAGGAUUAUAGCUGCAUCAUUUUGAAGUAAAAACAUGGUUGGUUGACUCUUGACUAUUAUGUAAAACUCCAAGGCAGGAGGAGAGAGUAAUCUCUGAGAGGAUGGCGGGGACUGAGGUAUUGGCCGCAGGGGUGAAGAAAAGAGGAGCGCGGUUCUUGUGAGAUGUGGCACGCUGGGUAAAGGAGCAGCUGGCGGGAGAUGUCAGAGGUGGCGCCCUGGUCAGCAGAGCGCUGGGAAGAACGCGGUGUCCACUGGGGUUGGAAACGAGGCAGGGGUGUCAUUAGGGCAGGACAGAGGCUCCAUUCUGACCACGUAGCAUUUGAAUCGCCUGUGAGCCGACCGGCCAGCUGAGUCCAGCCAGCAACCAGGUAUUCAUGCGUCCACAGGUGGACGGAAGAGCAUCCACCCUUUGCCCGAUGCUGUUCCUUGCGCUGGAACAGCCGGAGCCGCAGCAAGACAGAUAGGCUUCCUGUUCCUGCUGGCAGUGAGGCCCCAAAAGAGAGUAAGUGCCUAGAGAAAACAGGAGUGACUGGUAAAGCGUCUCCUAGGCGGGAGGACAGACCUUCAGGACCUGGUGAGAGAUGGGAGGUGGCCUUCCAGAGAUGGCCUCUGCGCUGGGACUGCAAAGAGGUGGCAGUAAUGAAGAAGGAGGAGGAGAAACAGAAACAGAUGCAAAAGAUCCUACGGAACCCGAACCCGAGGCAGCCUGGCCGGGGGUGGAAACCACAGCUGUUAGAAAGGAGCGGACAGCAUCCCCGGGCGUUAGGCUCUGGCCACUCUGAGCAGUGACCCGGGCGUGGAUACAGGGAGCACUCUUGUUUCUAGCCCUUGGCAAGCUAUUGAAACACCACACACAGUUUUUACUGAUGUCUGAUUCAGCAUGAGAGGAAAAGGGAAAGGAUUUAAAGAUGACUGAGAUGUUGAGCCUGGCUCAAAAGUAUUUUUUGCAAGGCAUGUGAUCAUAGCUACGUUGGAGGCUGAGGCAGGAUUGCAAGUGCAAGGCUAACCUAGACAACUCAGCAGAAUCCCGUUUCAAAAGUAGAGGACUGCUGAUAUGCUUAGCAUCCCCACAGCCCUGGGUUCCACAAAAAGCAGAAAAGGGCUUUUUAAAAUAAUUAUGACUCUCUCCUAUCCACCCAAUUUUACUGUUUUUCUUGUUUACUUUUCUAGGUUGGGUUUUUUUUUUUUAACUUCCUAUACAUGUAAGAAUAAAUACUCAUAUUUCCCCACUUACUAUGCAAAAGGCUGGAUUCUUACAUACUCGGCUAUAAUUUACACCUAAGGUAUGUGGAACUUGUCCGUAUUAGUGCGUAAAAGAUGACUUCACACCCCUGCAGACUAUGAACCAGUCACUACCCAGCUGAGGGACACUGAGUUUCUAACCUUAUAAUCUAAUUAGUGCUGGAAUGAGCAUCUUGAAUGUACAUCUUUUCUUGAUUAUGUAAGUGUGUCUCCUUUCAGUUCUUGCGGGUGGAACUGCUCUGCGAAAGGACAUAUGUAUAUUUUUAAUUUGCUUUCUGUGUACUUAGUAUUUCUCUGACAACACUGCUCAUGGACUGUUACCAGGUUUUCAGCUUUUUUUGCCCCCAUACUAGGGAUUGAAGUCAGGGAGCCCUGAGCUAAGGUACUUAGCUCUGUUUUGUUACUUUAAAAUAAGGUGUGGCUAAAUUGCCUAGGUUGACCUCAAACUCUGAGAUCUUCCGCCUCAGACUCCUGAAUAGUUAGGAUUACAGGAGUGCACCAUUGUACCUUGUAAGGGCAGGUUAUCUCAAGUUCUACUUAGUGCUUUUAGGGUCCAUAACAGAAAUCAUUUCUUUAAACUGAAGAAAAAAAAUAGCUUUCAGUUAGCAGUGUUUGUUCAGGAUACAGGAAUUCCUUGUAACUGCUCCUGCAGCUACCCACCCACAAGUAUGUUUUUUUCACAACUAGUUUUUAAAAAUGAGAAAAAGGGGGGGGAGUUAUGCAAUCAAUCCAAGUGUCCAGCACACCUGGAAAGAGGCCAGGAAUGACUGCAGACAACUCCACCUACACUUUUUUUUUUUUCUUGGCAAAUUUGCAAGCUUAGCACAAUCUAAAAAGAUCCUUCCGCCUCUGUUUGAAUUUCGAAGUGUCAACCUGGGAAGAGCAAGAUAUUAUGAAUUUCAGAAAAGAAUUUCCCUAAUGUGUUAGGAACUAAAAUAUGAUUUUGAUUAAUCUUGUCUGGGCACUGAGAAGGUACAAGGAGGGCGAAGGGGAGGAUGUGAGGCUGUAGAUUGUACCUGCCCUGGGGAUUCUAACAGGGUAGAAAGAAAGUUCCGGGAAUAAUUAUGGAAGUUACUCGGAGCAAAACUAAUUUCAGGAGAAGACAUGGAUGAGAUGUGGCAUGCUGGCUGUCUCACAUGCCAGACCUUGCUCAUUUCAUAAAUCAUGGCUUUGUACAGCAUCUUAAUCUUAUAAGCCCAACUGCCUGCAUUCGGUCAAGCUAUGUAAUACAUCAGCUAUGAGUCCUUGUGGCAAGUCACAUAAUCCGCCUGUUGAGUAGCUUCCCUGGUCUGUAAAAUAGGGGAUCUAAUAGCUUUUACCUUAUAUAUGGUUUUGAGAGGGUUAAAUGAAUAGGCUCAUGUAAAGUGCCUAGAAAAGUUCAGAGGGUAAGGGUACAAGUAUUUGGUUUGGUUGAGGUGAGGAGGUUGGUUAGGUUUUUGUGCUGGGGAUGUAAUCCAGGCUUUGCAUAUGCUAAGCAUGUGCUCUCCUAAGCUCCACCCUCAGCCUCACAUUAGUAACCAUCACUGUCAGGACAGCUGUGUUAGCCGUGCUGAUCUAUACAGAUGUGUGCAACUAUCUACUUCGUAACACUCAGAAGUAAUAUCUUUGGAAAGAAUACUUCUGGGAUUUUGGUCUCUCCCUUCUCCUUUCCCACCCUACCAAAAAAACCUAGGUGAUCUGUUUCUUAGUUAAAAUUAGUUUAAAUGACUUUGAUUCUGAGAAUGCUGUGCUACCUGUUGAUUUAACUACUAACAUGUAGAGUAAUGUAUGAUCUAGAACUUGGUGUCAGAGAACUGGUCAGUGUAGAUACCCAAAAUGGUAAAGUGACUUAUGUGCUUCAUUCAUUUACUUAUUUUUUCAAGAAAGGGCCUGCUCACCCUUUCCAUUUUUUCUCACUUUUCCCUUUUUAAGUUUUUGUUAUUACAGAGCCCCCUUAUAUCACUGGGAACAAGAGUAAAGUUAGUCACCCAGGUAUCUCUGGUUAGGAAAUAGUGUCACCUGUUAAUCAAACUUGGCUCAGCUUCAACUUCAUUGUCAAGAUCAUCGAUAAAUUUGUUGCUAAUGUGCUACAGAUGUGCACAUUCCCAUGUCCAUGGGCACAUAAGACUAGUUCUGUCAUCAAGGCACAAAAACAUGGGUCUCUCAGACCCAUGUUUAUGCUUUGGAAUAUUUCUAUGGAUGAAUUCUUAAUUUUAGUUUUAUGAGUUUUAUUACAUUAAACAAUGAGUCUUUAACAGGAAAAUAACAAAGUACUGAAUUUUUAAUAUGUAUUGAGUUUAUAAAAACAUCAAAAUUUUCAACCUUGACUAAUUUUGGUGUACUAAGUCUAAAAAAGAACAACGCAAAUCGAUUCUUAUAUGAACUUCAAUGAAAAUACCAAUAGCACUUUACCAAAAAAAUCUUUACUUCAGUUGUCACACCUACAGCAAUCUGCACACAUGACAGCAGCACCUUCCAUAAGCACAUACUGCUUACACUGACACCACAUGUGUUUUGCUUUCCUUGCCUUUUUGUAGGGCAUACUUGACAUCUCAGUGGUUUUCCUGUUUUGUCAGGAGGUUCUUAUUAUACAGUGUGUAGUUAACAGGAACACAAAAUAUCAAUAAAAUAAAAAAAUUUUAAUAGGUAUUGUGUUUAGAAUGAACAUGAUUUUUACAUCAGCUGUGUACUUGCUUAUAAAACCUAAAAGAUAACAUCAGAAAUAAACUUCUAUAUGAACUACAAUAUAAACAUAAAAGUCUAGCGCAGAAAUAACUUGCUGCAACUGACCCAAGGCAAUCUUCACACAUGACAACUGCAUGUUCCAUACACAAGUAUCACUUACACUGAUAGCACAUAUAUUUUGUUUUCCUGUUCUUUCUUAUAGAGCACAGUUGACAUCUUUCUUGUUUUCCUGUUAUCAUAGUAGGUCUUGUGAUGCUGCGCCUACCUGUUCACCUGUUAGCUCAACAGUGUGCUCCACAGUUCUUUUGUGUUUUUCCCUGGGAAGAAACAUUUUGUUUUUUUUCUCAGCUGUAAAUGAUCUAUGAGCUCCAGUCCCAAUCCUCUAGGAAGAUUUCUCAAUGAUAUUUUGUACUUGUUAUUCUCUUUGUCAACUGUCAAACUAUACCACACAUUCAGGAUCAAGUAAAGCAGAACCACUGGCCAAUAACUUGUGUUUCAAGUGACAUCAUAGUUGCUGCAUAACUCAUCAGUAUCUACUCCACCUCUGGUUUUGAUGGAGAAAAUUUCUAUCUCAGGCUUCCAUUUUGUUGAGGUUUCCCUAUCAAUAUUUCUGUCAUGGUGAAAUAUUGACAUCAGUAAUACCAGGUUUUUUUCCCUUAUUUGAGGCUAAUGUUACAUCUUUCUCAAGUUCAAAGAUUGUACUAUACAGUUCUCUCUUUUGAAAUUGCAACAAUUCAUUUGGAGUUUUUACUGUGUUCCUGUGUACAGUUCCUGCACUUGUCAACUUAUGCUCUAUUAGCAAAUGUAAGCCAAUUGUUGAAGAUUAUAUUCUGAUUAGUUUGGGAGAUGGGAGCAACAAAUCUUCACAACAUCAUUUGCUUUACUAUUAUACAAAUAAGGACUUGAGUUCCAGGAUAAAUGUCUAAAUUGAGAGCAUACUAAGUCUUUGUAUCUACAAGGGCAUAAAUUUUUAUGCCCUAUUUUGACCCAUCACUGUUCAAUACAUCUUUUACAUUCCUGUGAUUACCAUGGGAAAUCCCUGCUAAGUAUAGCAGACCUAUGAAUGCUUUCAGUUCAGCUAGUGCCGUAUCAUAAUAAAUACGUUUUUAAUAUGGGUAUUGGUGCACAAACAUUUUACUUGCAUUUCAACCUUUGUGUAGUUCACAGCAUCUUGUAGCAUUUCAUCUGUUACAAUUUCCAAUGUUGAAUGGCAGUACUGACAUUCUGUCCAAUAUAUUUCACUCCAGCCAAGACGCUCACUGUGUUUUCAGACCUAGUUCUAACACUGGAUCAUUCCAUUUGGUUGCAUGACCAUUUCACAGCAUUUUGACUAAUUACAUAUGUAUUCAGAUUUCUGUUUUCUUGUCAUCUGAAUCACGGAGGUUUGCAUGCCCUGUGUCUGCACCAGUCGAUUCUUGCUGCAUUUCACUGUCACAGAAACUUCGGUCCAUGUGGCCAGUGUCAAAGUCAUCAUCAUCAUCCACCCACACCACCCUUCUGUUAUGAAGGCAAGUGUUUUACCAUAAUGGAUCAUCUUCAUCAUCCAUGCAUGAGUAAUCUGAUGAUUCACUUUUGACCUCCUCCAAAACUUGCAAAUCAGGUUUUUCAUGUGUCACUGUACUGAAUUGGGCUGCUUCUACCAGAAGAAUCAAAGCAAAACUUUUUAACAAACCCUGGAGUGGUGUGGGUCUAUUGGACCCUCUGCAAUGCUCAGGUAAACAAAUGCAAAACCAGUUAGAGCAUAAAGGUGGAUCCAAAUCCCACUUUGACACUUUUGCACAUGUGCACACUCCUUGUUUGUCAUACCAAGUGUGUAAACACAGAUUGCUUCCUAUAUUCCUCAGGGAAAGGUACUGAGACACGCUGCCAGCUACUAUAAUGCUAAAGUACAAAUUUACAGCAGAAAAGUAAGGGAUGGGUCUGCUGGACCCAGGCUUAUGCCUCUAGGGUGCUGUCACCUUUUCCCAACCAUUUGCAUAUCUGCUUUUGCUCACUUUGUAGUGAACAACUUACUGUUUUAUGGACAGAAUAUUUUUGUACUCAAAAUUCAUAUGUUGCCAAGUGAUGGAGGGAGGGGGAAGGGAAGGGGAUGAAAUACGUGUUAUUACAUGUACCCGCUCCACACAAUGAAAGUAAUCAUUCUGUAUUGCAAACAUGGACUAAUGAAAAUAAAAGUUUUAAAACAACUUGUUGAAGCCUAACACUCAACAUGAUGGUGUCUGGAGAUGGGACCUCUGGGUAGUAGUUAGGGUUAGGUUAGGGCCUGAGGAUAGGGCCAUCAUAAUGAGGUUAGUGGUUUUAGAAAAAGGGGAUGAGCAAGCUGAGGCUAGAAGGUCACAAGUUUGAGCCCAGCCUAGGCAACAUAUCAAUUAACAAAACCCUGUGUCAAAAAAUAGAAAAAAGCUGAGGAUGGAGAUCAGUGCAGAGGCCUGGAUUCAAUCCCUGGGGUGCGGGGCCUCUGUACUCAGCAUCAUAGAGGAAGAGCCAUGUGAGGGUUCAAGGAAAGAUGACCAUCUACAAGCCAAGAAGAGAUCACACCAGAAACUGAACUGGGUGGCACCUUGAUCUUGGACUUCCCAGCCUACAGAACCCUGAGAAAUAAAUUUCUGUUAUUUAAACCA